CUCUCUCUCUCUCUCUCUCUUCUCUCUUCUCUCUUCUCUCUCACUCAAUUCAUCUCCAUGGAUUCAGACUACGGCAUUCCCAGAGAGCUCUCUGAUGUUCAGAAAUUCCGAUCCCAAUAUCAACCAGAGCUUCCUCCUUGUCUGCAGGGAGCUACUGUAAGGGUUGAAUUUGGUGAUACAACCACAUCUCUAGAUCCCACAGAUGCCCACACCAUUGGCCGCUACUUUCCACACACUUAUGGUCAGCCUCUGGCUCACUUUCUCAGGGCAACUGCAAAAGUCCCUGGUGCUCAGGUUAUUACUGAGCAUCCGCCUUUUAGGGUCGGAGUUGUCUUUUGUGGGAGACAAUCUCCCGGAGGACACAAUGUCAUAUGGGGUCUCCACAACGCUCUUAAAGUUCACAACCCCAAAAGCACCUUACUUGGGUUUUUGGGUGGUUCUGAAGGUUUAUUUGCACAAAAAACUCUUGAGAUAACAGAUGAAAUUCUUGCAACCUACAAAAAUCAAGGUGGUUAUGAUUUGCUGGGAAGGACAAAAGAUCAAAUUAGAACAGUUGAGCAAGUCAAUGCUACGCUAACCGCAUGCAAGGAUUUGAAAUUGGAUGGUCUUGUCAUUAUUGGAGGUGUGACAUCAAAUACCGAUGCUGCCCAGCUUGCAGAGACAUUUGCUGAAGCAAAAUGCCAGACAAAGGUGGUUGGGGUUCCUGUCACUUUGAAUGGAGAUCUUAAAAACCAGUUUGUGGAAGCUAAUGUUGGUUUUGAUACAAUCUGUAAGGUCAAUUCCCAGCUAAUCAGCAAUGUCUGCACUGAUGCUCUUUCUGCAGAGAAGUAUUAUUAUUUUAUUCGACUCAUGGGCCGGAAGGCGUCACAUGUUGCGUUGGAGUGCACCCUCCAAUCCCACCCAAACUUGGUAAUUCUUGGUGAGGAGGUGGCUGCAUCAAAGCUAACUCUUUUUGACAUUACAACGCAAAUUUGCGAUGCAGUCGAAGCCCGUGCAGCACAAGACAAGAAUCAUGGUGUCAUCCUAUUACCAGAAGGACUUAUUGAAAGCAUUCCUGAAGUGUAUGCCCUCUUGAAGGAAAUACAUGGUUUGCAUAGGCAAGGAGUUUCUGCUGAUAAAAUUUCUUCUCAACUUUCUCCUUGGGCAUCUGCGUUGUUUGAAUUCUUGCCACCCUUUAUCAAGAAACAGGUGCUCCUUUUGCCUGAAUCAGAUGACUCUGCGCAGUUAUCCCAGAUUGAGACAGAGAAACUCGUGGCGCAUCUUGUAGAGGUGGAGAUGAAUAAACGUGUGAAAGAAGGCACAUACAAGGGGAAGAAAUUCAAUGCAAUCUGCCACUUUUUCGGUUAUCAGGCUCGGGGGUCUUUACCAUCAAAAUUCGACUGUGACUAUGCAUAUGUUCUAGGGCACAUCGGCUACCAUAUUCUUGCAGCUGGUUUGAAUGGUUACAUGGCAACUGUAACUAACUUGAGGAAUCCUGUGAAUAAGUGGCGAUGUGGUGCUGCUCCAAUUACAGCAAUGAUGACUGUUAGGCGUUGGUCUCAAAAUCCUGGGACUGCUUCAAUUGGAAAACCUGCUAUUCAUCCAGCUACUGUAGAUUUGAAAGGCAAAGCAUAUGAGCUGUUGAGACAAAAUGCUACAAAAUUCCUGCUCGAUGAUAUCUACAGAAAUCCAGGCCCUCUUCAGUUUGAUGGUCCUGGUGCCGAUUCUAAGGCUGUAACGCUAUGUGUUGAAGACCAGGAUUACAUGGGGCGUAUCAAGAAACUGCAGGAGUAUCUUGACAAGAGCUUCUUCAACCUCUACGCGAAAUUGGGGUUAAGGGCCAGGAGCUGCAAGACGAAGCCACGAUUAAUAUCAAAAAAGGGUUGACCAAUGGGGGUGGGUUCAGUCGAACUGUCUAUCUGCGGGUCUGUGUGGACAUUUCAUGGUAGGGGUGCCGAGCUUGCAGAAGACGUGGCUUCAACGUCGGGUGCUGGUGUCAAGAGCUUGGGAAUCGGCACCAAGGGUGAUUGUCGAGAGUGUCUUUGAAAUGGCCGACCGCAUCUAAGCAGAACAUUGAGACGACCGAGCGCGCUCGGUCGAAGAUUGCCGAAGAAGAUCGUUUCUUUAAGACCCUGUUAGACUUGGGCAAUCUGUUCAAGGCGAGUCUGAUCAGCGAGCUUAAGCACUCCCGAAGGCAAAAGGAGAAAGAGGAACAAUAAGUGAUGCCGAUCGGCAUUUAUUGAUUUUUUAUUUGUGUCUGCACGCCGUUCCUGCUUUGACUUCAUUUUUGUUGACUUUGUGUGCAGUGGCUGGGGGUAGGGCGAUGACGGACGCGACAAGGAGGAGGCUGGAGUCUCAGGUGCCUCAGUAGGAGAAGAAAAAUGGUCCCUCAAAGCUGAGGACGAAGCUUCAGCGUUAGGCCGAGGGGGCUUCGACUGAGGAGGUGACUAUGGCCGAUCGUCGUAAGUAGAAAUGAGCGAUCGAGGCCGAGACCGUUCGGGAGGCCUAUCUCCAGGUGACUAGAAAGAGGCAGAUCGAAGGUGCACUGGAUGUGACGCCUCUGUCGAAGAGGCCAAAGAGGUCGAAUGAGGAUGCAGCCAUCCUUAUUCCUGGCGAAGAGGCGGAAGGAGAGGCCGAGCUGGUGAAUGUGGCAUGCCCCCGGAAGGUGGUGCCGUUAAUCAACUGCAUCAUCGGCAAUGCAUAGAUGGAGCUCCCGAAGCUGGAGCAGCUGCUGGUGAAGACGGUGUGCGAGCAGGCCGACCUAGCUUUCUGUCUUCAAGCUGCGGCUGAUAUGGAGAUGUGGCUGUGCAUGAAGCGAGCCUUGAAUGCUGCUCAUCUGUAUAGGGAGAGGUUCGAGGACAACCGAGCGAAAAAUGCCGAGGCAGGCAAGGUCAUUAGAGAUGCGGAUCAACACGCCGAGGAGAAGACGGUGAAGAUUGCAGAGCUCUCGUCCAGGUUGGCCGAAGCUGAGAAAGCGUUGGUGAGUGCCAAGGAGGCUAGGGCUGCUGCUAGGGGUGGGCACGGU